UACGUAGGGUGCGAGCGUUAAUCGGAAUUACUGGGCGUAAAGCGUGCGCAGGCGGCUUUGCAAGACAGAUGUGGAAUCCCCGGGCUCAACCUGGGAACUGCAUUUGUGACUGCAAGGCUAGAGUACGGUAGAGGGGGAUGGAAUUCCGCGUGUAGCAGUGAAAUGCGUAGAUAUGCGGAGGAACACCAAUGGCGAAGGCAAUCCCCUGGGCCUGUACUGACGCUCAUGCACGAAAGCGUGGGGAGCAAACAGG
rnacentral:rRNA from 1 species